AGAGUUUGAUCAUGGCUCAGAUUGAACGCUGGCGGCAGGCCUAACACAUGCAAGUCGAGCGGUAGCACAGAGAGCUUGCUCUCGGGUGACGAGCGGCGGACGGGUGAGUAAUGUCUGGGAAACUGCCUGAUGGAGGGGGAUAACUACUGGAAACGGUAGCUAAUACCGCAUAACGUCGCAAGACCAAAGUGGGGGACCUUCGGGCCUCAUGCCAUCAGAUGUGCCCAGAUGGGAUUAGCUAGUAGGUGGGGUAAUGGCUCACCUAGGCGACGAUCCCUAGCUGGUCUGAGAGGAUGACCAGCCACACUGGAACUGAGACACGGUCCAGACUCCUACGGGAGGCAGCAGUGGGGAAUAUUGCACAAUGGGCGCAAGCCUGAUGCAGCCAUGCCGCGUGUGUGAAGAAGGCCUUCGGGUUGUAAAGCACUUUCAGCGGGGAGGAAGGCGNNNNNNNNNUAAGGUUAAUAACCUUGGCGAUUGACGUUACCCGCAGAAGAAGCACCGGCUAACUCCGUGCCAGCAGCCGCGGUAAUACGGAGGGUGCAAGCGUUAAUCGGAAUUACUGGGCGUAAAGCGCACGCAGGCGGUCUGUCAAGUCGGAUGUGAAAUCCCCGGGCUCAACCUGGGAACUGCAUUCGAAACUGGCAGGCUAGAGUCUUGUAGAGGGGGGUAGAAUUCCAGGUGUAGCGGUGAAAUGCGUAGAGAUCUGGAGGAAUACCGGUGGCGAAGGCGGCCCCCUGGACAAAGACUGACGCUCAGGUGCGAAAGCGUGGGGAGCAAACAGGAUUAGAUACCCUGGUAGUCCACGCCGUAAACGAUGUCGAUUUGGAGGUUGUGCCCUUGAGGCGUGGCUUCCGGAGCUAACGCGUUAAAUCGACCGCCUGGGGAGUACGGCCGCAAGGUUAAAACUCAAAUGAAUUGACGGGGGCCCGCACAAGCGGUGGAGCAUGUGGUUUAAUUCGAUGCAACGCGAAGAACCUUACCUGGUCUUGACAUCCACAGAACUUUCCAGAGAUGGAUUGGUGCCUUCGGGAACUGUGAGACAGGUGCUGCAUGGCUGUCGUCAGCUCGUGUUGUGAAAUGUUGGGUUAAGUCCCGCAACGAGCGCAACCCUUAUCCUUUGUUGCCAGCGGUUAGGCCGGGAACUCAAAGGAGACUGCCAGUGAUAAACUGGAGGAAGGUGGGGAUGACGUCAAGUCAUCAUGGCCCUUACGACCAGGGCUACACACGUGCUACAAUGGCAUAUACAAAGAGAAGCGACCUCGCGAGAGCAAGCGGACCUCAUAAAGUAUGUCGUAGUCCGGAUUGGAGUCUGCAACUCGACUCCAUGAAGUCGGAAUCGCUAGUAAUCGUAGAUCAGAAUGCUACGGUGAAUACGUUCCCGGGCCUUGUACACACCGCCCGUCACACCAUGGGAGUGGGUUGCAAAAGAAGUAGGUAGCUUAACCUUCGGGAGGGCGCUUACCACUUUGUGAUUCAUGACUGGGGUGAAGUCGUAACAAGGUAACCGUAGGGGAACCUGCGGUUGGAUCACCU
rnacentral:rRNA from 1 species